GACGAACGCUGGCGGCGUGCUUAACACAUGCAAGUCGAACGGUAAGGCUCCAGCUUGCUGGGGUACACGAGUGGCGAACGGGUGAGUAACACGUGGGUGACCUGCCCUGCACUUCGGGAUAAGCCUGGGAAACUGGGUCUAAUACCGGAUAGGACCGCACCGUGAGGGUGUGGUGGAAAGUUUUUUCGGUGUGGGAUGGGCCCGCGGCCUAUCAGCUUGUUGGUGGGGUAAUGGCCUACCAAGGCGGCGACGGGUAGCCGGCCUGAGAGGGUGGACGGCCACAUUGGGACUGAGACACGGCCCAGACUCCUACGGGAGGCAGCAGUGGGGAAUAUUGCACAAUGGGCGGAAGCCUGAUGCAGCGACGCCGCGUGGGGGAGGACGGCCUUCGGGUUGUAAACUCCUUUCACCAUCGACGAAGGGUUUCUGACGGUAGAUGGAGAAGAAGCACCGGCUAACUACGU
rnacentral:rRNA from 1 species